ACACAUGCAAGUCGAGCGGUAGCACAGAGAGCUUGCUCUCGGGUGACGAGCGGCGGACGGGUGAGUAAUGUCUGGGAAACUGCCUGAUGGAGGGGGAUAACUACUGGAAACGGUAGCUAAUACCGCAUAACGUCGCAAGACCAAAGUGGGGGACCUUCGGGCCUCAUGCCAUCAGAUGUGCCCAGAUGGGAUUAGCUAGUAGGUGGGGUAACGGCUCACCUAGGCGACGAUCCCUAGCUGGUCUGAGAGGAUGACCAGCCACACUGGAACUGAGACACGGUCCAGACUCCUACGGGAGGCAGCAGUGGGGAAUAUUGCACAAUGGGCGCAAGCCUGAUGCAGCCAUGCCGCGUGUGUGAAGAAGGCCUUCGGGUUGUAAAGCACUUUCAGCGGGGAGGAAGGCGUUAAGGUUAAUAACCUUGGCGAUUGACGUUACCCGCAGAAGAAGCACCGGCUAACUCCGUGCCAGCAGCCGCGGUAAUACGGAGGGUGCAAGCGUUAAUCGGAAUUACUGGGCGUAAAGCGCACGCAGGCGGUCUGUCAAGUCGGAUGUGAAAUCCCCGGGCUCAACCUGGGAACUGCAUUCGAAACUGGCAGGCUAGAGUCUUGUAGAGGGGGGUAGAAUUCCAGGUGUAGCGGUGAAAUGCGUAGAGAUCUGGAGGAAUACCGGUGGCGAAGGCGGCCCCCUGGACAAAGACUGACGCUCAGGUGCGAAAGCGUGGGGAGCAAACAGGAUUAGAUACCCUGGUAGUCCACGCCGUAAACGAUGUCGAUUUGGAGGUUGUGCCCUUGAGGCGUGGCUUCCGGAGCUAACGCGUUAAAUCGACCGCCUGGGGAGUACGGCCGCAAGGUUAAAACUCAAAUGAAUUGACGGGGGCCCGCACAAGCGGUGGAGCAUGUGGUUUAAUUCGAUGCAACGCGAAGAACCUUACCUGGUCUUGACAUCCACAGAACUUUCCAGAGAUGGAUUGGUGCCUUCGGGAACUGUGAGACAGGUGCUGCAUGGCUGUCGUCAGCUCGUGUUGUGAAAUGUUGGGUUAAGUCCCGCAACGAGCGCAACCCUUAUCCUUUGUUGCCAGCGGUUAGGCCGGGAACUCAAAGGAGACUGCC
rnacentral:rRNA from 1 species